CACAGAUUUUGGUAAUGAUUCAUAAGAUAGAUGAGUGGAGAAUAUUCUUGGAGGAGAUAUUGUUUUGAGAUCAGGAACAAAAUCUUUGUUGAAAUAAAGGUCUAACUCCCAAAAGGGAACAAGUUCGUGUGGAUUUUUUGUGAGCAAUGGAUGAUUGCUAUGAAUAUUUGGAUAUUUGUUGCGGUUUAUCAAAUCAAAAGACAAUGCUUUGAGCCAAGUGGUACCUGAUUUAGGAGAAGUGACUAAGAGAAUAUCAGUAUCAAGGGCUUGAAAGUGCUUUUGACAAGAUAUAACAGCUUGAAGAAACUCUGGAGCAAACCAAAAUCCUUGAUAUUGAUGUAAAUGGAUUCCAUUCCAACAUUUUUCCGAUGGCAAUGUGGUUAACAAUUCCUCACAUUCUUCGCCUAAGUCAUAUUCUUGCAUGUAUUUUGGUACAAGAGUUUUUUCACUUAAUUUUUCCAUGGUGAAUAGUAUAACUCAGGUGAUAAUAUUGUGGGUUGAAAUCAAGAUACAAUUGUUUAUAUAUAUAUAUAUAUAUAUAUAUAUAUAUAUAUAUAUAUAUAUAUAGAGAGAGAGAGAGAGAGAGAGUUUAUAAUUUUAUUUUAUAAAAAAAUUAUUUAAUUAAUUUUUAUUUAUUUAAUAUAAAAUAUAUUUUAUUUGUGUUGUAAGAUUUGUUGNCUUCUUGAGAAAAUGGACACUCCAAAAACUUAGCAAUUUCUUUCAAAUAAAAAUAUGGCUUCAUUUUCAUUUCUUCAUAUUUCAAGAACAUUACCUUGUUUGAACUUUCCAAGCUUUUCUUCCAAUAUCCUAAUACAUGCUCCCAAAAAGGUCCAAAAGGACACACUCCUCGACAAAAACACUCAAAAGCCUCUUCUAAUGGAAGUGUUCCAUUCCUUUUUGAUCUAACAUUGCUUAUGAAAUGCCAAAAUGAAACAAAAACAUCUUUAGGAUCUCUACAUAGAUACAAAACUUUGCAAGUUGAGUCUUUCACAGAUUUUGGUAAUGAUUCAUAAGAUAGAUGAGUGGAGAAUAUUCUUGGAGAAGAUAUUGUUUUGAGAUCAGGAACAAAAUCUUUGUUGCAGUAAAGGUCUACCUCCCAAAAGGGAACAAGUUCGUGUGGAUUUUUUGUGAGCAAAGGAUGAUUGCUAUGAAUAUUUGGAUAUUUGUUGCGGUUUAUCAAAGCAAAA
rnacentral:lncRNA from 1 species